rnacentral:rRNA from 1 species
UACCUGGUUGAUCCUGCAG